CUCCCUCCUCUACUGGCUGGGGGCUGUAUAUCUGACUCAGUGCUCCGGUGGACGAUGGGUUAAAGACUGCCGUGUCCCCGAGUGGUAAAAUAAACAUCAACUGUGUGAAUAAACUAAUCCAGAAAAUAUAACAUAAACUAGUGUUAAACAGUGAAUAUUUAACCAACUCGGCAAAAUCCAAGAGAACAGAAAUAUAAAUAUGAGCUUCAGAUAACAGAAUAAAUACGUCAGGUUAACAAAUGAACAAAGAUUUAACUGGGGGAUAUACAGUAGCGUCAGUGUGUGUUAGAGCCCAGGGACCUCUCACACAAGCAACACCCUCCUUCAGUAGCAGGGUGUAGGAGGAUGUGAAGAAGCAGUGAUAGUAGUGGGAAUAACAAUCAGGAGGAAGAUUGGUAGUAGAAGCAGGAGGAGGAUAUCAGCAGGAAGGAAGAGGAACAACAAGUAGAAUUAUCGUCUUCCUUCUCUUCCCAAUCCAAAGGAAACACUACAACCACCACACCUUCGUCAGCCACACCGUCACGCCACACCAUCACCGCCACACCACCUCAGCCACUAUGUUGAAGCCCUGCCAUACUGUUGACAGCGGUACACACGGGCAUCAUCACCAUCAGGAGGGGAGGUGUGGCUGUGUGACAGAGGAGGGACAUGGGAAGACGUGGGUCAACCAACAGCAGAGGAGACAACAACAGCAGCGUCAUGAUGGAUUUCCUCAGUAAGACCAUCAUGACGAGUCGUGCCAAGCUCUCCCGGAUCAUCCACGUCAGGCCCUACAACUCCUCUCUCUCCGACGAUGAUGGCGAGAAGGAAAACAUCAACACGACUAAAGCCUUACCUCUCAAAGACACCCCAACUCCUGACGCGACAAAGCCGACGAGGGCCCGCUCCCUGGAACGCCUACCUGGGGAGACGGGCCCUACCGAACUGGGCAUCAUCGGGAGACACAGAUCCUUCGACAGGAAACAUGGCCGCUCCUUAGGCACACCCGAUCUUGCGCCCGUUUUCACCACCACCAAUAACAAUAGUUUCACCAUCACCAAAAAUAACCUCACCGCCAAUGACGACUUUAAGCCACAGAAAUCUCCCAUAAAGCGCCGUGCAAACUGGUGAUAAGGACGAGUGUUUACCCCCCCUCACCCCAGUGCUCACUACCUCACACGGUCAUAACAAACACAUAGAGAAGUAACAGUUAUGGCUGCUACAGUAAACACGUAACACCUUAAAACAAAAUAACAACCAGACAGACAAUCUAGUACAUCUUCUCGGUUCCAGAAGACUGUACUAAGGUUUCAUAAUUAAUCAGACCCACCCAAGAACUAUUUCAGUGUUCAAAGUGAUCCAUACUGAGUGAGACAUGUUUCAGAAACUUCAUAAGAGAAGCUACUGACAUAAUGUGUAGUGAUAGUGUGAGAGAUGAGGUGUGAGGCAGUGAUGCAGAUGUGUAAACAAAUGACAUAUAUAUAUAUCUGUGAUACUUGUCUGUUAUAACUACCAACAAAAACCUAAAAUAUUGUAGUAAAUAUGUGUAAAUAUUCCUUCUAAGUUUAAAUAUUUAUAUAAAAUAUGAAGUUAUAAUGUAGUGUUGUAUGGUGAAAGUUUCCAUAGUGCAGGGAAUGAUGGUAAUGAUAAACACACGUGUUAACACUACAAGCUACUGGGAUAUCACUGCUUAAGCGAUCGUCAGUACAAGCCGAACAAAAUCCCUGAAAGAAUAACUCAAAACACUAAAUUGUUGUAAAUAAAAAUAAAGAAAUAGUAUAAUACAGAAUAAAAGCGACCAACAACUUCACAGCCAGUAGAUAAAAUCAUACCAAUGAAAAUAUUAUUGAAACAUAUACCUACAGCACAGUGCCAUUCAGAUAAACCAGUCUUGUAAAGUCCUUCAUGGGGAGCAUCCAGAUAGGUACAAGGUUUACAUGCUUAAUGAAUUAAUUAAUACACAAAAUACUAAUGAAGGAAUAAUGUUAGUUAGAAGUUAAUGUUCCGGACAAGUUAUUCUAUGUAGCAUCUCGUCUGUUCUGAUGUAGUGUAAUAUUUGUACUUAACACACACACUGACACACGUACACAUAAACAAAGUUGAACUCAAUUACACUAUACACACACACGAAAAAUUAUUAGUUUCCAGUCAAAUUCAAAACAAAAGAUUACCAUUACAAAAAAAACAUCAAUCUUCCAAUCUGAUUAGGUCAACACGCAUCAAUACAGGAGGUAAUGGCUACAAAGUGAUACAUGAAGUACUAUACACCAUACUGUAAUGAACUGUACUGUGAUAACGUAACAAAGGAGAUGUACUAAUGUAUGGACUCCUUGGUAUAGAAUGUACUUAUACUUUAGCAACACCCUGUAGUACUGUAGUUUAUGAACACCAAGUACUUCUCGGUAUAGUGAUAUGGGUGAGGAAUACUGAUUCAUAUGUAUACAAGACUCGGUGUAUUAUCAGCCUAGGACACUAUAUCAUGGUGUAUACUUGACUGAUUAAUAAAAUGGUUAUGUGUA